AGUGAACGCUGGCGGUAGGCCUAACACAUGCAAGUCGAACGGCAGCACAGUAAGAGCUUGCUCUUACGGGUGGCGAGUGGCGGACGGGUGAGGAAUACAUCGGAAUCUACUUUUUCGUGGGGGAUAACGUAGGGAAACUUACGCUAAUACCGCAUACGACCUACGGGUGAAAGCAGGGGAUCUUCGGACCUUGCGCGAUUGAAUGAGCCGAUGUCGGAUUAGCUAGUUGGCGGGGUAAAGGCCCACCAAGGCGACGAUCCGUAGCUGGUCUGAGAGGAUGAUCAGCCACACUGGAACUGAGACACGGUCCAGACUCCUACGGGAGGCAGCAGUGGGGAAUAUUGGACAAUGGGCGAAAGCCUGAUCCAGCCAUACCGCGUGGGUGAAGAAGGCCUUCGGGUUGUAAAGCCCUUUUGUUGGGAAAGAAAAGAAGCAGGUUAAUACCCCGCUGUUCUGACGGUACCAAAAGAAUAAGCACCGGCUAACUUCAUG
rnacentral:rRNA from 1 species